GCUCGGCAUACAUAAUAUCAUCUAUCGAAAUCUAAAUACAUCACAAAACCCAUAAUCUCAUGAUCACAUGCCUUUGGAUGUCUACAAGUAUCUAACUCCAGAGUAUCUAACAAAGGAAAAGAAAAUACUGAAGGGCUAAUACUUAAAAAGGGAGAGUAGAAAGGGACUCUUCAGUCUGCAGACGUGGCAGAUAUACCUCGGAGUCUCUACAAGCACCUCAUCUUAAGCGUGAUGAGUCUGAGUGGAGGUACCUGGAUCUGCACAUGAAAAACAUGCACAGAAAGGACAUGAGUACACCACAUCAAUAAUCAGUAAGUGCCAAGCCUAACCUCGAUCGGGUAGUGAUGAGGAAGGUCAGGGCCCUACUGAAAUUAAAUGAAAUAUAAGGUGCGACAGUAUAAGAUAAAGCAUCACAGUUAAAAGAUAAUAGUAAGAAUUAAUACAGGAUAAUAAAGAUAACUACAACUGAAACAGAGGCGAAAACAAUCACCGGGAAUACCACUCUUCACAAAGAUAAUAACCAGGGAUCUCUCAGUAUCCCGAGGAUCUCUUAGUACCUUCAAUACAUGCCAGAGAUCUCUUGGUAUCCUCAAUAUAUUCUAGGGAUCUCUUGGUAUCCUCAAUAUGUGCUAGGGAUCUCUUGGUAUCCCGAGGAUCUCUUAGUAUCCUCAAUAUAUGUGCUAGUGAUCUCUCGGUAUCCUGCACCUCAGCUUAGAUCAUAAAUACAUACAGGCGAUCUCCUGGGAUGCCGUCCCGUAGUCCCAAAGUAAAACACACAGCAACAACACAAGGAAUACUCAAUUAAGCUAAAUUUUGUACCAAGUAAAAUAGGUAAAUCUAACCUAACAUGCUUCACAUAAUACAAUUACGACAGUUUAAGCAAUAAAGCAAUUAAGUCAAUUAAACAUGCUUUUCUAAGCUAACAACAGAUUUAAAUUUCAAGUAGAGUAAGCAGGAAAGGGAAACACAAUUAAAGCUACUUAAGUGAAAAAGGUUUGUCAGUAGGUUUUUCAAUAAUUAGCACAAGUACACACUCGUCACCUCACAUGCAAGGCAUUUCAGUUACCACAAUACCAAAUCCUAAGGGGAAUGCCCCCCACACAAGGUUAGGCAAGCCACUUACCUCGAAUCAGCUCAAAAUCAACCCGAAACCACGCUCUUGCCAUGAGUACUCGACUCCAAAUGGCCUAAAUCUAUUCAACUCAAUUGCAUAAUGUAAAUUACACUUCAGGUAACUGAUUUCACAAAGAAAUUCUAAGCUAAAAUGCAAAAUUAGGAAAAAUAACCAAAACGCCCUUUGGGCCCAUGUCUCGGAAUUGGAUAAAAUUUACAUUUUCAGAAUUCACAUACUCUCACAAGUUUAUACAUAUCAAUAACACUGAAAUCGGAGUUCAAUUGGCCCCUCAAAUACCCAUUUUAAGGACACUUAAUCUCAAGCCCUAAUUACCCAUUUUGCACUGAUUUUUCCCAAAUUUUCACCACUAAUUAGACCUUUAAACACAUAUAAAUGAGUUAUGCAGUAAAAAAAGUUACCUCCAAGUGAUUCCCCUUUGGUUUUCUCAAAAAUCUCCCUCAAAAGCUUCAAUCCCGUUCAAAAAAGGUGAAAUAAUGAAGAAGGGUCGCAGAUGGGCUAUUUAAAUACUGCCCAUUUAUUCCUUCUUCGUGAACGCGGAAGGACCCUUGCGUUUGCGAAGUACAAUUUUGCUUGGGUCCAACUUCCUUCAUCGCAAACGCGAUUCUCAGGCCGUGAACGCGAUGCAACAACUCUUACAGUUUCGCAAACGCGAAGCAUUAAAACUCCCCCAGCCCAGCUCCUCUUCGCGAACGCAAGACCCUUCUCGCGAACGCGAAGAAGGAAACUAGAACUGGACUGCUGCAAUUUUUCCACAAUUCCAACAAGUUCCAAAAUGACCCGUUGAGAAACCGAAAUACACCCGAGGCCCCAGGGACAUCAACUAAAUAUGCCAACACAUCCUAAAACAUCAUUCAAACUUGUUCCAAUCAUCGGAACUCUCGAAACAGCAUCAAAACACUAAUUUACCAUCAGAUUCAAGCCUAAGAAAUUCAGAAACUCUCAAAAUACGCUUUCAAUCAAAAAGUCUAUCAAUCCUCGUCUGAAUGACCUGAAAUUUUGCACAUACAUUACAUUCAACACUACGGAGCUACUCCAACUUCCAGAAUUCCAUUCUGACCCUCGGAUCAAAAUCUCACUAUCGAAUCGGAAACUUCAAAAAUUUAACUUUUGGUAUUUCAAGCCUAAAUUAGCUACGGACCUCAAAAAUACAAUCCGAACAUGCUCCUAAACCCGAAAUCACCCAACAGAGCUAACGAAAACAUAGAAAUUCCAUUCUGAGGUCGUCUUCACAUUGUUCCGACUACGGUCAAAUUUCCAGAACUUAAGCUCUCAUUUAGGGACUAAGUGUCCCAAAACUCUCCGAAACUCCAAAUAAUUGCUCCCGGCAACUCACAAUAGUAGAAACAAACACGGGGAAAUCAUUUAAUAGAGGAUCGGGGUGUAAAUUCUUAAAAGGACCGGCCGGGUCGUUACAUACUAGGGAUCUGGCAUGAGGCUUGUUAUUCUAGGUGUAAAAACCUAGGUGUAUUGUUCUAGACCUGGCUUACCCUAUGCGGACAACUCGAGCCAGGGGGGAGCGUACCGAAAAUACAGAAGCUUCACCGGCUUUGCAACUUGUCCGAACCUCGUUCUAAAAUUGGGAUAUGACUCUAAAAGAAAAGAAGCCAUAUGAAUUGCACACUUCCUUGAUGAUUUAGAAGAAUUAGAGAGAAGAGGAUUUCGUAACAGUUUAUAUACAAUUCAAGUAAUAUAAAAGCGGUAAAAAGCGACAUUUAGCACAUUAGGUUUAAACAUGUAAACAUUAGAUAAUAAAUGAAAGCCAAGUAUAACAGCUAUUCUAAGCUUGAAUUCUGAAUCCUGAACUAGAAGUUCUAGGUUCUUGUCCCCAGCAGAGUCGGCAGAGCUGUCACACCUCCUUUUUACCCGAGGAUGAUAUAAGGGAGUUUUUUCUAUUAAAGUGACAUAAAUCAAUUUAAUUUCAAAGUCUCCACUUAGGAUAAUUUAUUUGGUGUUCCAAGUCACCAGUUUAUUUUAAAUCCCAAAUCGAGGAGAAUUUUGACUUUAUUUAAAAGUCUGUGAAACCAGAAAACUAGGUAAGGAAUUUUGUUAACCCGGGAGAAGGUGUUAGGCAUUCCGGGUUCUGUGGUUCUAGCAGGGUCGCUUAACUAUUAAUAAUUGGCCUAAUUAUCAGAUUAAUUACAUGUUUUAAACCUAUUGUGCAUUUUUAACUUUAUAACCGCUUUUAUUUAUUUGUGGAGUUGUUUCUGAAACAAGUCACGAUUGUCGUACACUUGCCGUUUUGGAACACAUUGCAAACCACGCUACAUGAAAUGCACCCGCAAUUUGCGACAUGCCUAUUUUAUUAUUAUUCGAAGUUGUGGUCAGGUCACAUGAAAUGCACACCCGAAUGGGAUGUACAUAUCAUGACUAUGACACGAGAACCGUACCUAUAGUCACGAUAGUUAAUUAAUCGCGCCUAAAGCAAGCUACAAUGUUCAUGAUUUUCCUGAAAUUAAUUUUGAGAUUAUUGUGAAAGGCCGUAGAUUAUGAAAUUUAAUGUGGAUAAACUAAUAAAUUUGAACAGAGGAAAGUAAGAAAUAUUAGCUAAAUAUUUAACUUCUUAGCUUUAAGAUUUGAAGAGAUCGAUGAUUGUUUGCAAAAUACUCAAAAUGGCGUGGACUUAAAUAUAGAAAUGUCAAAAACUUAGGCUCUUUCAUCCCAGGAGCAUGUUUACAAAUUUAAAAUACAAAUAAGACACUCUAAUGACAAUUCGGGUGAUUAUCACAAUGCCAUUCAUAUUACAAAGACUCUCUCAAACUUUAAUUUCUCUACCAAAUUAAGGUGACAACAUCGAGUAAGCUCACUAUUUAUCUCUGAUUUCUAAUUACUAAGUAUUAUAGAAAAAGUAAAUUUAAAGAACCUGGAAUUACAGGUCUACGAGAUCAACAAGCAACUUGAACAAAUACUGUAACUAAAGAUGUCAAAUUAAGGAAGCUAAAACCAUAUUAAUUCUUCUUCAAAGGUUAUGAAACCAUGAUUUUCAGCAUAAAAUGACAAAGAACAAUCGCUAUUCUCCACUGGAUUUGGCCAAACCAGUCCAAACCAUUAUAUUCACAUCAGGCAACAAAACAUAUUUGAACGCUCAACUUUACUUCCGUGAACAAACAAAAAUUUAACUAAUAUCAUUUAAAUGCUCAAAGUCAAUAAAAACCUUCCAACAACCACAUAAUAUAAAUAAACAAGGCAACACUCACAUAUAACACAAAACAAAAAAAAAUGAUAAAGUACGGAUAGAGGUUAAAUUAAUGAGUAAUUAUGAGGAGUAAGAAAGUUUAUCAACUAGCAAAUCCAACGAAACAAUAUGAAAUCAAAGUGAGAAAUGACACCUUUAAAAGAAAAUUAAAUGAAGAUUCGAUAAAAUUUUUUAUUUAAGAUUCAAACACCACCAACAAAGAUAGAUGAACAUACCUAAACAGCAAUUGAAAAACCAAUUAUAGGUCUGAACAGAAGAUGAAUUUCAGCAAUGAUGAACAACAGAAAACAAGCCCCGAACUAGAGGAAGAAAAAUUCAAAACCUAGGAAAAUGAGUUCGAAAUCAGCAGCAAACAACUCUGGUUCGAUUUUAAACUGUUUGAAUCAAAAAUCCGAAGUAGUAUACCAAAACUCUAUUGUUCUUCCUUUAUUUUGUUUUUCUAGAACUUCAUUACUUUUUUUUUUUGAUUUUUCUAGAUCUUGGAUUAUUGAAUCUCCCACUUAUUCUCUAGCUAUUUUUGUCGAUGUUUGUGAGAGUGACGAAGGGGAGGUAGACAGAGAGAGAGAGAGAGAGGCACCAUUUUUUUUGUUGUUCUCUCUACGGGAGGGAAUAAAGCUGCUCCAUUUUUUUUGUCCUCUGUUAGGGAUGAUGGAUGGCUCUCUUGAAGAUGAGAGUGUCGUUCCCUCUUUUAGAGAUAGGAAGGGGGUGUUAUCUUUGUUAUUAGGUCUCUUUUUUGUGAAGAAGAAGAG
rnacentral:lncRNA from 1 species